rnacentral:ncRNA from 1 species
GGGAAGUAUGGUUGCAAAGCUGAUACUUAAAGGAAUUGACAGAAGGGCACCACUAGGAAUGGAGCCUGCAGCUUAAUUUGACUCUCAACAUGGGAAAAUUUACCCGGCCCGGAUAGAGGAAGGGUCGACAGAUUAAGAGCUUUUCCUUGAUUCUGUGGGUGGUGGUGCAUGCCUGUUCUUAGUUGGUGGAGUGAUUUGUCUGGUUAAUUCCGAUAAUGAACGAGAUUCUAGCCUACUAAAUAGACACUCUGAUCCUUCGAGUUGGACGUUCUUUUUAGGAGGACAAGUGGUGUUUAACCGCACAAGACACAGCAAUAACAGGUCUAUGAUGCCCUUAGAUGUCUGGGGCUGCACGUACACUACAUUGAAGUAAUCAGUGUGUGCUUUCCCUGUCCGACAGGACUGGGUAACCCAUUGAACAUCCUUCAUGCUGGGGAUAGGGGCUUGUAAUUAUUCCCCUUGAACGAGGAAUUCCCAGUAAGCACGAGUCAUAAGCUCGUGUUGAUUACGUCCCUGCUCUUAGUAUA